rnacentral:lncRNA from 1 species
UAUAUAUAUAUAUAUAUAUAUAUAUAUAUAUAUAUAUAUAUAUAUAUAUAUAUGCUGCAAGGAAACACAUAUACAUGACAAACAAACCCGAAUUCGCACAUAUUGUUCUGCACCCGUAAAUUUUCGCUUUGAUCAGAUACAAGUAUGAAUAUGGGUAAUAUCUGAUUUUUUUAAAACAAGAAUAAGGAUGGAUAUGAGUAUGUACAUACUCGCCCAUUGUUUGUACUCGUCCCGUACCUGACAAUGUAAUUAUUAAAUUACUCUUAAUUUAUAUUAUGUAUAUUACAUAAUUAAUUUUACUAAAUUUUUAUACUUACUAAUGGUCUAUUUUAUAUAUUUUUUAAUACUAAACUAAAACUCUAAGACAAACAUAAAUUAUAAGAGAUUAUCGUCUUUCUCAGGUCUCAUGUUUCAUAAUAGUUUUUAAGUGAUAAGAAUAUGAUUUUUAUAAAAAGAAUUUUAUUAUGAUAUGAUUUUAUAUUGGGGCAUUAAAAGUUGAUUGUCUAGGUUUGACUCUUGAAUAAUAAUAUAUUUAACUUUGUUUAAAAAAUUUAAAUUAUUUUUAUGAUUUUUUUGUAAUUUCUUAAAAUUAUUGGACAAGGAAAAGUAUGGGACGGGUAUAGCGUAUCUCCAAUGUGCAUGGGGAUGAGAAAAUAAAAUCCAUAUUCACCGGGAAUGGAGACGAAGAUGGAAAUAGGUUUGAAGUAAUUUAAAGUACAAUACAAAUGAUGUAAUGCUCAUAUUUAAUUGUUCUAUAUAUCUAACAACGAAUUUAUUAAGGGAAAAGAUACUCCCACCCGGUUAAAGCUUGAACAAAUUAAAAUAACACCACACUCCUUUUAACAAAAUGCUUCUUUGAAGCCUACGAAUUGAAUAACAUUUUAUUCAUCAUUACAAAUUAAGGAAUAACUUUCCAAUUAAGCAGACAAAGAAAAAGUCAUCUCCUUAGACGAAAAACAAGACUACAAAUGAAAUUUAAGAAAUUAUAUAUCCAUGAUUUUCAAAAUAUCAAACUAUUCCUGCUUGAACACCCACCUGAAGCCAUUUGAAACAGAAAUAACAAGUUGUGAUUGUAAGUCAAACCAAUGAAUAACGGGGGUUCCCAUACUUGUUAAUUAUUUGUCCAGUUGUGUUUCUUCAAAAUUUAAGCUGUUCGUAUUACUUGUGGUACAUUUUAAAUUAUAUUAAUUUAUUAAAAAGACAUAUCAUCUGAAAAUUGAAUUAUAUGUUAAAGAAAUGAAUUGAG